rnacentral:rRNA from 1 species
GAUGAACGCUGGCGGCGUGCCUAAUACAUGCAAGUCGAGCGAACGGACGAGAAGCUUGCUUCUCUGAUGUUAGCGGCGGACGGGUGAGUAACACGUGGAUAACCUACCUAUAAGACUGGGAUAACUUCGGGAAACCGGAGCUAAUACCGGAUGAUAAUUUGAACCGCAUGGUUCAAAAGUGAAAGACGGUCUUGCUGUCACUUAUAGAUGGAUCCGCGCUGCAUUAGCUAGUUGGUAAGGUAAUGGCUUACCAAGGCAACGAUGCAUAGCCGACCUGAGAGGGUGAUCGGCCACACUGGAACUGAGACACGGUCCAGACUCCUACGGGAGGCAGCAGUAGGGAAUCUUCCGCAAUGGGCGAAAGCCUGACGGAGCAACGCCGCGUGAGUGAUGAAGGUCUUCGGAUCGUAAAACUCUGUUAUUAGGGAAGAACAUAUGUGUAAGUAACUGUGCACAUCUUGACGGUACCUAAUCAGAAAGCCACGGCUAACUACGUG